GUCGUGUCCUUGACCCUUAUCGUAGUGCUUUGAGUCCCACUACUGUAGAGGCUUUAAUUUGUACUCAAAAUUGGUUAAAACCUGCUAAGAUUUUGGUUAAGCUUGAUGAAGGAGAUGCUGCGGUUGAUUCAGAAUUUUCUGGAGUUACUAGUGCUGGAGAUCCUGAAGUUCAAAGUCAAUUACAUCCUCCUGAACCAUCUUAGGAAUACAUUAUUCAUGUUUGCUGCUGAUGGCUGCUGCCUGCUGAUUUAAGAAGGGAUGGCUCAAGUUUAAUUUUUAAGUAGCAAGAAACUUCAUUCUCAAUGUUCUUUCAACAAUCUUAGAUUUUAGUGCCUUAUAAUCUUGGAUCAAGUUGUUUUGUUUCUGCUGAUAGUUGAUAAGCAUUUGCAGAUUUAGAUUGUUUAGAUUUUAGUGGGGUACUAUGUUGCUGUUUUAUUUUAAAUAAUCUUGGAUCAAGUUGUUUUGUUUCUGCUGAUAGUUGAUAAGCAUUUGCAGAUUCAGAUUGUUUAGAUUUUAGUGGAGUACUAUGUUGCUGUUUUAUUUUAAAUAAUCUUGGAUCAAGUUGUUUUGUUUCUGCUGAUAGUUGAUAACUUGAUAAGCAUUUGCAGAUUCAGAUUGUUUAGAUUUUA